GAGUUCUACAGAACAUUAUGCUUCAUUCAAGAAAUUGGAAGGAUCCAAACAAUAGCAAAGAGACUCAAGAUGCAACCAAGGCUUUAGGCUUGUUGUCAUUCUGAGAUAUUCAUGAAGCUGCAAGCUGAGAAGCUGAUUUGGGGAGUUCCGGACAAAACAGAGUGAAACAUACUUCUUACCCACCUUAAGUUUAUUCAAAGUAACUGAAAUGCUGCCAGGAUUUGGCAGUAGGCUUGCUCAGGCGUACUUAUCGACUUGGCCCAGCUGUCUCCUGCAAGAUCCAGAAUGAAUUCACCACUUGAAGACCUGCAGAGAUAAGACUUGAGGCAACAGAUCAUUUAAUCCAUAUCAAUGUUUCUCUCCAACACCUUUUAUAGUAAUUUUAUAGACAUCUCUCCAACCUACCACACUCCUGCCCUAAUUCAUUGAUUCAGAUGGACACUGUUCACUCUAAACCACAUGGGUGUGUGGCCAUGCAGUAACUUAAAUGAACUGAAUUUUUAACUGUAUAAUGUAAAUAUAGUUUUGAAAAUAUGGUAAUCUAAUUUUGAAAUCUAUAUUAAUGUAUUUGUGAACAACACUGUAACUUACGUUGCCAAUGUUUCAAGUUACAACUCUGUAUCAAAUUGUAACAAUAAACACAGA